AAACUUAAAAAAUUUGGCGGUAUUUUAAUCUAUUCAGAGGAACUUGUUUUUUAAUUGAUAAUCCUCAUUAAAUCUUACUUAAUUUUGUUAAAUUUGUAUACCGUCGUCAUAAGAAUUUCUUUAAAAAAGAAAAAAUUUUCUAAAAUUAAAAUUUUUAAUAAUGUCAGAUCAAGGUGCAGUUUAUAAUUAAGAAUAAAUGAGUUACAAUAAAUUUAUUUAUUAUGAAUUUUUAAAUUAAUUUUUAAAAUGAAAGUGGAUUUGAUAGUAAAAUUUAAAAAUAAAUAAAUUUGAUUAAAGUUCUAAAAUAUGUACAAAUC
rnacentral:rRNA from 1 species